rnacentral:lncRNA from 1 species
UGUGAAUUAAGAAUAGGAAAGAAUUGAAGAAGGGCAGACAAAAGGUACAAAGUAGUGUUUGGGGAAGCCUGACUGGGAACAUAGAGAGCUGGAUAGAGGGUCACAAAUAAUCUGUUGGAAAGGACUUUGACAUUCUUAUAUACUAAAGGGAAAGAGCCAGUUAAGAUGAAAGUUCAAAUACAAUAGGUGAGUAGAGCUUAGUGAGGAACCCACUGCAGGGAGCCAGGUGAGAAAGGAUAGUCACUUGGACUAGGCUGGAGGUAAGAGAAAUGAAGGGAAAUGGACCAAAUCAAGUUGUUUUUGAAGUAGAAUUAUAAAGCAGAAUAAUGAUUACUUCAUAAUUUCUGCAUAUUGCUUCAAAAUUACUGUAGAAUCAACGCCUUUAAAGAUUGUUAAUUUACCUGGACAGGAAUUUCAAACAUUUUAAAAAGUCAGAAUUAUAUUUAAUCUUCUUAUUUUUACAAGCUGGAAUUAUCUAUAGACUUACAUAGGCUGGAAGUAAAAGGAUGGAAAAAAG